rnacentral:misc_RNA from 1 species
UCAAUCGGUUCACUCAGCAUUUAAUUUGAACUAAUUUGAGACUGAAUGUUUUGGAUUUUGUCAAAAUUUAAUGGAUUGUCCGGUUCCGCUCAUUUUUAGCUUCAGCUCUGAUAUUUUCCAAUCUGUUCUUCGUUGUUCCAUAUUCUAUUUGACUACGUUGCGAUGAUUAUCUUCUUACUUUAGAUUAUUAUUGGAUCUUGUCUAAUUCUGACGAUUUGAUAAAACCCUAUUUUGGAGUCAAAAGCUUCAAUCCUCUCCCCCCUUUCCCCAACUAAACUGCAAAAUAACGACAUGGUUAGUUUUGCUAGUCACUUUCUGGGUUUUUUUGUUUUUUAUUUUAAAAGCGGGAAUGCGUAUCAUCGAUGAAAUCAUUAAUGGAACGAGAAAUGUGGCAUCCGAAGCAUUGAUGAAAUUGUGGAUGCAUAUGCUUAAAAAAUUUGGUUUUGCUCGUUGUUUAGUAAAUUUCUCUGAGACUCAAUCAUUUCGUUUGGGCAAAAUUACUCUAAAUGUGUUGCAUGUUAAUGAGCUAUUAGGUGAUAACUCAAAUUUGUGGAACUCCUUAUUUGUAAUUUGCUAGUUAUUAUUUAUAGAGGGGAAAUCGAAAAAGAAUAUAGUGAUUCUUGUUACUUUAUAGUCCUGGCAAUGCAAUCCUAUAAAGCAUCCCAAGUCUCGUAUGUGCUGAAAUCUUUUUCAACUUGCUUAGACUCAGGUACAUGUGUCAGAUACAAAUCCAUAAGCAUUGCAGGUGCUUUUUUCCCUAUAAAUUCUACUGGUUUUUGGCAGAUUCUUCCAAGUGCUGAUAGGUGAUAUCCAGUUCUUAGCUGAUAAAUGUCUGAUGUUGGUGUUGUUUGGGUUAAAAUAAAUAGUUUGAGCAACAGAGAUAGAAGAAUCCUAAUGAUACUUUCCACUCCUUCCCUCUGUUGAAACUUGAGUCUUGAACUCCAAUAACUAUGUUACAACUUUAUGUAUUCAGAUCAACCUUUCGCUGCAAUUUUAUCUGGUUGAUUAAUGUUUCCAAUUCCCCAAGAAUCUGUGUUUCACACAUUUUGGUGGAUGUCUUUUUGCACAUUCCUAUGUAAUG